AGAGUUUGAUUCUGGCUCAGGAUGAACGCUAGCGACAGGCUUAACACAUGCAAGUCGAGGGGCAGCAUAGGAGUAGCAAUACUUGGUGGCGACCGGCGCACGGGUGAGUAACGCGUAUGCAACCUACCUAUCAGAGGGGAAUAACCCGGCGAAAGUCGGACUAAUACCGCAUAAAACAGGGGCACCGCAUGGUGAUAUUUGUUAAAGAAAUUCGCUGAUAGAUGGGCAUGCGUUCCAUUAGGUAGUUGGUGAGGUAACGGCUCACCAAGCCGACGAUGGAUAGGGGAACUGAGAGGUUGGUCCCCCACACUGGUACUGAGACACGGACCAGACUCCUACGGGAGGCAGCAGUGAGGAAUAUUGGUCAAUGGGCGGGAGCCUGAACCAGCCAAGUCGCGUGAAGGAAGAAGGAUCUAUGGUUCGUAAACUUCUUUUGCAGGGGAAUAAAGUGCAGGACGUGUCCUGUUUUGUAUGUACCCUGAGAAUAAGGAUCGGCUAACUCCGUGCCAGCAGCGGC
rnacentral:rRNA from 1 species